AUGCUCUCGGGGCGCCCUGCCCCCAAGCCUGCGGCCCGGCCCGCCCCACCUCCCCGCAGCCCCCGGGCACCGCUGCAGACCAGCCGGGCUGGGAGCACCGCGGGGAGGUGCGCGGGGGGCGGGGGCGGGGACGGGCGUCCCCCGGGACGCGGGCGGUCCCAGCCCUGGGCGCGCAGUCCGCAGCGGGGCACCCAGCAGCCCCGAGGGGCUCCCCGGGCGCCCAGCUCCGACGACGGGCGAGGCGGGCGUGCACCAGCUCCGCUGCUCGGCUCGGCUCGGCCCUGCGCUGGGAACUCGGGCGGGUCCCCACCUGCUUGGGCCCCUUCCUCCUUCCUUCCACAGCAAAGAAUGCCUUUCUGGAAGGAAUAGAAAUUCGAGCAGCAGCCAUGAUUUCUGUGGGUCCCAGAAAAAAGCCACGCUUCAUUACCGCGCUGAACUGUGUAGUAAUGUGGAACAGAACUAGCUAGAGCCAGAAAAUGGAGAUUUGAUGAGUCCUCUAAGAUAAAGUGAGUAACUGCAGCUGGAGACUGAAUAUUUAUUGCUAUUCAUAUAUCGGUUUUGAGCAAAGAAGGUAAUUAGUCCAAUCUGGAUCAGCUUUGCUCAAGAGCAUGGAGGAGGACAUUUCUUCCCCUGUCUCAGCCCUGCCAGUCCUUUGCUAGCAAAGCUCAAUAUCCCUAGCCUCGCCCUUGAAUGCUCAUCACCAUCUUGCUCUAAUGAAAACCCAGCUCUUCACUGAGAACACCGUCUUCCUCUUCUCCUGCAGCCCUGUCACGUGGUGGCUGUGGUUUUCUCCCUCACGGUUUUGUGCUAGUAGACCUGGAGGUGGGACGCAAUUCCUUUUUGCUCCUCCUUGUCACUUCUGCAUUAGUCCCUUUCCUCCCUAAAGAUGUCUUGUAUUGAAACUCAGGUAGUCAGGUGAGACGACUUGGUCGUCUCACUUCAUUGACAUCUGUCAUGUCUAGCUGGUUCCUUGGUGCUCUGGCUUCACCGUCGUGGUCCAAUUCCAGUCUCUGUUCUUGGCAAUUUCAGCCUAUAGAUAGAUAGUCCCUCUGUUCCCCUGGUCUCUCAGUCCCUGUCUACCUCUCUUC
rnacentral:lncRNA from 1 species